UACGGAGGGUGCGAGCGUUGUCCGGAAUCACUGGGCGUAAAGGGCGCGUAGGCGGCCUGAUAAGUAGGGGGUGAAAUCCUGCGGCUUAACCGCAGGGCUGCCUUCUAAACUGUCAGGCUCGAGCACAGUAGAGGCAGGUGGAAUUCCCGGUGUAGCGGUGGAAUGCGUAGAGAUCGGGAAGAACAUCAGUGGCGAAGGCGGCCUGCUGGGCUGUUGCUGACGCUGAGGCGCGGCAGCGUGGGGAGCGAACAGG
rnacentral:rRNA from 1 species